AGUGAACGCUGGCGGUCGGCCUAACACAUGCAAGUCGAACGGCAGCACAGUAAGAGCUUGCUCUUACGGGUGGCGAGUGGCGGACGGGUGAGGAAUACAUCGGAAUCUACUUUUUCGUGGGGGAUAACGUAGGGAAACUUACGCUAAUACCGCAUACGACCUACGGGUGAAAGCAGGGGAUCUUCGGACCUUGCGCGAUUGAAUGAGCCGAUGUCGGAUUAGCUAGUUGGCGGGGUAAAGGCCCACCAAGGCGACGAUCCGUAGCUGGUCUGAGAGGAUGAUCAGCCACACUGGAACUGAGACACGGUCCAGACUCCUACGGGAGGCAGCAGUGGGGAAUAUUGGACAAAGGGCGCAAGCCUGAUCCAGCCAUACCGCGUGGGUGAAGAAGGCCUUCGGGUUGUAAAGCCCUUUUGUUGGGAAAGAAAAGCAGCAGGUUAAUACCCCGCUGUUCUGACGGUACCCAAAGAAUAAGCACCGGCUAACUUCGUG
rnacentral:rRNA from 1 species